rnacentral:lncRNA from 1 species
GAACGCGCUAAAGUGCCCUUUUUAAAAACGCGCCCCUCUAUUUUCAAAUCCUAGCUGGAACACUGAAUAAUAUAUAUGAGAAAUUAAAAAGUAUAUUGUCUGAGAAACUGUUCUCAAACUCUCUCCCACUUGCAAAAUAAAAUAUCCCAUUGUAACUUGGCCCAUCUGCGUUCUUGAUAUGUUCUAGCUAUAGUCUUUUGAAUUUAUACACACCACUUAAAGAAUGCUUAAGUACAGGC